CAGCAGCCGCGGGAAUACAGAGGGUGCGAGCGUUAAUCGGAUUUACUGGGCGUAAAGCGUGCGUAGGCGGCUUCUUAAGUCGGAUGUGAAAUCCCUGAGCUUAACUUAGGAAUUGCAUUCGAUACUGGGAAGCUAGAGUAUAGGAGAGGAUGGUAGAAUUCCAGGUGUAGCGGUGAAAUGCGUAGAGAUCUGGAGGAAUACCGAUGGCGAAGGCAGCCAUCUGGCCUAAUACUGACGCUGAGGUACGAAAGCAUGGGGAGCAAACAGGAUUAGAUACCCCAGUAGUCCCUGUCUCUUAUAA
rnacentral:rRNA from 1 species